UACGGAGGGGGCUAGCGUUGUUCGGAAUUACUGGGCGUAAAGCGCACGUAGGUGGCGACGUAAGUCGGGUGUGAAAGCCCCGGGCUCAACCUGGGAAUUGCAUUCGAGACUGCAUUGCUGGAGUACGGAAGAGGAAGGCGGAAUUCCCGGUGUAGCGGUGAAAUGCGUAGAUAUCGGGAGGAACAUCAGUGGCGAAGGCGGCCUUCUGGUCCAGUACUGACACUCAAGUGCGAAAGCGUGGGGAGCAAACAGG
rnacentral:rRNA from 1 species